rnacentral:rRNA from 1 species
AGUGAACGCUGGCGGUAGGCCUAACACAUGCAAGUCGAACGGCAGCACAGUAAGAGCUUGCUCUUACGGGUGGCGAGUGGCGGACGGGUGAGGAAUACAUCGGAAUCUACUUUUUCGUGGGGGAUAACGUAGGGAAACUUACGCUAAUACCGCAUACGACCUACGGGUGAAAGCAGGGGAUCUUCGGACCUUGCGCGAUUGAAUGAGCCGAUGUCGGAUUAGCUAGUUGGCGGGGUAAAGGCCCACCAAGGCGACGAUCCGUAGCUGGUCUGAGAGGAUGAUCAGCCACACUGGAACUGAGACACGGUCCAGAAUCCUACGGGAGGAAGCAGUGGGGAAUAUUGGACAAUGGGCGAAAGCAUGAUCCAGCCAUACCGCGUGGGUGAAGAAGGCCUUCGGGUUGUAAAGCCCUUUUGUUGGGAAAGAAAAGCAGCAGGUUAAUACCCCGCUGUUCUGACGGUACCCAAAGAAUAAGCACCGGCUAACUUCGUG